rnacentral:rRNA from 1 species
UACGUAGGGUGCGAGCGUUGUCCGGAAUUACUGGGCGUAAAGAGCUCGUAGGUGGUUUGUCGCGUUGUCCGUGAAAACUCACAACUCAAUUGUGGGCGUGCGGGCGAUACGGGCAGACUGGAGUACUGCAGGGGAGACUGGAAUUCCUGGUGUAGCGGUGGAAUGCGCAGAUAUCAGGAGGAACACCGGUGGCGAAGGCGGGUCUCUGGGCAGUAACUGACGCUGAGGAGCGAUAGCGUGGGGAGCGAACAGG